UUCCAUAUAUUUCCAAUGGUAUAAAGCUCAACAGCUGGUUCAUUCUGAGGAAGUACAGUUUAAUCUGUAAAGUCGGCUGCACAGCUUCUGCUUCCAGCAUACCAAACUCAUUUCAAUUGCAAAAAUGCUCAUUUUUCUUCUUUCUUCAUCUUCACUCUUCAAAUCUAAGAAAAAUAUAAAACUAAAUGAAACGAACUAAAUUCACUCACAAACAUAACAAAAAUCUAAACUAAAUGACAUUGAAAUGUACGCAAUAUUGGUCAUAUCAACCAUCAUCCAAUCUCAACCGUUAGAUUCUACCCUAGUCAUCCUUCCUCCCGAGUCGACUCCUAAUUCCAGAAUCAGUCACUCUCACUCCACGCUGUCCGUCCCUCGAAUCCAACUCUUAGUCGUCUUCUCCUCCGUCAUCAUGACCAACACGACGGCACCACCCAUCCUCCUCGACGACAUCCCACUGGCUCGGUUCUCUCCUCUUCAACAACAUCACUGCUGGCUCGAUUCUCUCCUCUUUAACAACCUUCACUCAUGUUUCUUGCCCAUUCGCAACCUGUAUAAUCCAUACCUUCCUUAGACCCAAAAUCUAAUUCUCUGAUCUCACAUCGCCGCCGCAAAUCCAUUGCCCGCCCGCCCGCCAUGGGCACUCCAUCACUCUCAAGGAGCGCAGGUGUGUUCUCUGGAUUCACACGGCUAUGCAAGGUCUUGUCGGUGGUGCUCAUUGGAUACCACAUUGUAGUUCAGCUUCUCCCUCAUGCUUGUCGGUGGUAUUUUUCUCUCGGUUUGGGCACCUUCAUUGUCCAAAUUUUGGUUUGUUGACUUGUGAAUUGAAAAUUUACUAAAAUGUAUUGCAAAGUAUUGCAUAAAUAUGUGUUUAUAGUAAUGGGUUUUAUGAAAAAUAUGUGAAAUUUAGUGUUUUGAACCGUUUGGUUUUGUGGGGUUGAUCUGAAAGUCAGCUCCGGUUUUUCCCCUUUCUUGUGUGGAAUUGGGAGUUUGUAGCAGAGGUGAUAAUGUUGACCCAGUUCCAAAACUUAGAAUUAGGUCCGGUUCCAAAACUCAGAAUUGCUAUACCCGCCCCCGCCCCGCCC